UCUUGGAGAUUGCACGAAAGUUUGUUGUCCCGUUAAUUUCAAGUUAUUAACAAAUAUUUUUUAAUGUCACUAUCAAGUUUUGAAUACGUGAGUGUUUCCGAAACGAGAUAUUCAAAAAUUCGGAAGAUAUCCGUGAAAAUAAAAUCGAUAUUUGUCAACUAGUCCUACGAGUGUGAAUUUUAGGUUACCGAGCAUUGACAGAGUACUGUACGAAUACACAUUCCCAACCUUACUAGUGUGUUUACUUUUUGAUCUUCUUCAUAUUUGCCAAGGAAAUUCUUCGGGUAAAAGAUUAUACAAUAACAAAAGCACAGCCGGUCGUUCGACACUCAAGGAUGGAUAAAAAUCGUCAUGAUAUUGUAUAUUUCGUGUUAAACAGCACUCACUCGGAGAGAGAGCACACACAAGUCGUGCAACGAACGUCUCGGUGACGUCAACUUCGAUUACAGCCAAAUUCAAUGGCAAGGUCUUUGGCCCCAGCCAGAUCUCCUGGUGGUAUUAAGGUCAAAGACAGCAAGAGCCUUGCCGACUCGUCCGACCGCCACCAACCAGCACUGCAAACCAACGGAAAAAAAAGUCUCGUGCUGUACCGAUCUUUGAUAAGAAAUGGUUGGUAAUCCUAAUUUUAUGCAAGUCCUCGACCAUGUCUGUGACGAAGGAACGAAGGAACGAAGGAACGAAGGAACGAAAGAAGGGCCUUUCGUCAGAUAAUACUCGUGGUCAGGGUUAACAUAGCGUGGGCGCGAAAGGAAGGAGAUAAAUCAUUGACAUGCGCUUGCACAGCACCAAACGCCGCGCAUGUUUACCCGCCUACGGAUAUUAACGAUCGUUUCUAAUCCAUCGUCUUGGACUAAAACCAGCCAGACACUUUCGCGAUCUUCCAACACUCGAAAGCCCUCGUCACUAUCAUUGAUCUUUACAAAGAAAAAAAAUCAACCUAGGCGAUGAAGGAUUCAACGGGGGUAUCCAACGGGAUCUCUAAGAAUAAAUGGUGUAUAUUAAACAACUUUCUUCCUAUUUCCAUGAUCAAUUGGAACUAUUUUAGUUGUCAUAUGACUAGCUGACCCAACAACAUUUCCUUUCAAAUUAUUGCGGAACUAAUAGCUGUAUUCCUUUUGUACCCCAUCCAUCCCUCAUCUCUAUCAGCGAUGUUGAAGGAAAAAAGAAGAAAAAGGGAUAAAUAAAAUGAUAGUGUGAGGAAUAGGGUGAGAAUUGUACAUAUAUACCAGAUCGUUUAUUGGAGUAUAAGCGUCACGAAUCUUGAUAGGGCUUUUGCACCUGUAAUAACAAGUCCAAGAGAUCAUCGCGUGGGCCGAGCUCUACGGAUAGUAAGAAGUGUUGUUGCAUGUGCGUUAGUGUAGUUGUGAUCUUCGAUCGAUACGUUAAACCUCCUAUCUCUUUGUCGGAUUAAUCCUGUUCCUUUACAGCAUCCCUUUUGCCGAUAAAGUCGAGAUAAACAGAAACUUGCUAAGAAGCACGGUGAAAGUGAUCGUAAUUUUUUCUAUGCCUGUUUUUUUUUUUUCCCCCCCAUUUUAUUUCUUUGAAAUCGAUCGAAUAAAAUGUAAGUUUAAUCUUGUCCCCCUCCCUCUGUUUCAAUUGGAAUUUCAAUCCAAUUCUUUUUUAUACCCUCUGGUAAAUCUGUAAAUUCCAAGAAAAAUUAAUCGACAAAUUUAUCGAUACUA